UACGUAGGGUGCGAGCGUUAAUCGGAAUUACUGGGCGUAAAGCGUGCGCAGGCGGUUUUGUAAGCCAGAUGUGAAAUCCCCGGGCUUAACCUGGGAAUGGCAUUUGGGACUGCAAGGCUCGAGUGCGGCAGAGGAGACUGGAAUUCCUGGUGUAGCAGUGAAAUGCGUAGAUAUCGGGAGGAAUACCGAUGGCGAAGGCAGCCAUCUGGACCGACACUGACGCUGAGGCGCGAAAGCGUGGGGAGCAAACAGG
rnacentral:rRNA from 1 species